ACGAACGCUGGCGGCAGGCCUAACACAUGCAAGUCGAGCGAGAUCUUCGGGUCUAGCGGCGGACGGGUGAGUAACGCGUGGGAAUAUGCCUCUUGGUACGGAAUAGCCUCGGGAAACUGGGAGUAAUACCGUAUGUGCCCUUUGGGGGAAAGAUUUAUCGCCAAGAGAUUAGCCCGCGUUGGAUUAGGUAGUUGGUGGGGUAAUGGCCUACCAAGCCGACGAUCCAUAGCUGGUUUGAGAGGAUGAUCAGCCACACUGGGACUGAGACACGGCCCAGACUCCUACGGGAGGCAGCAGUGGGGAAUCUUAGACAAUGGGGGCAACCCUGAUCUAGCCAUGCCGCGUGAGUGAUGAAGGCCUUAGGGUUGUAAAGCUCUUUCAGCUGGGAAGAUAAUGACGGUACCAGCAGAAGAAGCCCCGGCUAACUCCGUG
rnacentral:rRNA from 1 species